GUAUGUCUGACGUCUGAAUGAAUGUUUAUAGCACACAUAUGUUAGGAAGAUUGUCAAAUGUCUUUACAGCCGGCCAGCUUGGGGCUAACGCUUAGACGAUACAGAGGUCUGUGUGAGCAAGUGUGACCACGCCGCCCUGAAGACCAGUCGACUUCAUGUAUUAAAAAUGGUUACCAGACUUAAAAGGGCAGCAGAGGAUAGAAACGAACAAAAUCUCAAUGCAGAUGUCACAGAAACAGGAGCACUCUGCUUUAUCUGCCCUACUGACUGUCUGAAAGUACAGCAGUCUUUUCUAACACCAUUUCUAAAUGUUUGAAGUCUUUUCAGUGUGAAAACUGGCAUGUUAGCAGAAAAUGACUUGAACAAGCUGAAGAUAUGGUAUUGAGAAAAAAAAUCAGAAACUGUCCAGGACAAGCAGUGGCGUAUGCAGGUUUCCAGGGUAGGGAGAUCGUCGAGAGCACAAAAAAAGCACCAGUUUCAUUUUAUACAUGAAUUUGUUUUUAAUAAAAUACACUAUUCUGCUAUUCUUAAACUAACUUGAUAAAGCUAACAGCAAGUUCAGUAUCAAUAUGCCUUCUUACCCUUAUAAUUCCCAUAUUGUUAAUUCAAUGUUAUUUUCAUUAAUGAUGUAAAAUAAGCAACACAUCUUG